AUUGAACGCUGGCGGCAGGCCUAACACAUGCAAGUCGAGCGUGAAAGUUCUUCGGAAUGAGUAAAGCGGCGGACGGGUGAGUAACGCGUAGGAAUCUGCCCUGAAGUGGGGGAUAACUUGGGGAAACUCAAGCUAAUACCGCAUAGACCUGAGGGUGAAAGAUGGGGAUGUUCGGACCUAUCGCUUCAGGAGGAGCCUGCGUCGGAUGAGGUGGUUGGUAGCGUAAAGGCAUACGAAGGUGACGAGCCGUAGCUGUUCUGAGAGGAUGACCAGUGAGACGGGAGCUGGGACGCGGCCGAGACUGCUGAGGGAGGCAGAAGUGGGGAAUAUUGGAGAAUGAGCGAAAGCGUGAUCGAGCAAUGCCGAGUGUGUGAAGAAGGCUCUAGGGUUGUAAAGCACUUUAAGUUGUGAGGAAGUGACGGUUGUAAAGAAUGACGGUCAUUGACGUUAGCAACAGAAUAAGCACCGGCUAACUCCGUGCCAGCCGCCGCGGUAA
rnacentral:rRNA from 1 species